rnacentral:snRNA from 1 species
ACAACCUCUCCAGCACUUUUGGUUAAGAUCAAGUGUAGUAUCUGUUCUUAUCAGUUUAAAAUGCAAAUUCUUAAAAGCUACUCAUGACUGCUUCCUUCCACUCUCUCCAAGGGCAUGCAAUGGCCUUUGAAGUGAGAACCAGCA